rnacentral:rRNA from 1 species
CGUAGGUAACCUGCCUAUUAGAGGGGGAUAACUAUUGGAAACGAUAGCUAAUACCGCAUAACGGUAUGUAACACAUGUUAGAUGCUUGAAAGAUGCAAUUGCAUCGCUAGUAGAUGGACCUGCGUUGUAUUAGCUAGUAGGUAGGGUAAUGGCCUACCUAGGCGACGAUACAUAGCCGACCUGAGAGGGUGAUCGGCCACACUGGGACUGAGACACGGCCCAG